rnacentral:lncRNA from 1 species
AUCGCAGCCAAAGUUGCGAUCCCUGCUUUUAGCUGCUAAACCAAAUUCCUGCGACCUUCUCCAGACGGCGGCCACCCGCCCACUUCCGCCUUUACGUGCCCUGGCAGGGGGCGGGCUUUCCAGGGGCGCAUGCGUGUAGCAUCUCUUCGCGCUCUGCUCCCUCCUCCUUUUUCCCCCUCCUCCAUUUUGUUCGCGGACGCUGGGGACGGUGGGAGCAGAUCCAUUUCCGGGUUGGCAAAAGGGGCGGCGGCGGCGAGAAAGGGAGCUUUCCGGGGGGCGAGCAGGACGGGACGGAGCCGGAGCGGAGGUGGCGGAGGAUUCGCUCCCGGAGCCGCUGUGCCCAGCUCCCGAGCAGAAGUUGGCAGAGUUCCGGUUGACUGUCUCUUGAGGGAUGUGGCCCGGAUUAGAGUGGAUGGGGUGUUUCAUGUCAAAGUGAGGUUCAUUGGCAGAUCCUGAGAGCUGCUCUGCAAGGAAAUGGAGGCGGUACUCUUUACUGAAUGUUCUUACACGCCUUUAUGUUUCUCCUAAAUUCAAAUCUGUUACUUACUCAUCUGAUGAUUAAAUGCAGAAUCAUUGCCUUUGCCUAGCUUUGAAAGUCCAAGGCAUUGAGGAAGAGGGAAAGAGUGUUUCCGACUUUUUUUUUCCGCCCCACUCUCACUCCCAAGCCUUUGAGCCUGGGGAGCCACAGGCUAAACGCGCGAGCACUUCUUGGUAUUAUUAUCGAGGGGUAUUUUAAAAUGCUGAAUAGAACUUUAUGGAGAAAAACAAUGUUAGUAGGGAAAGAAGGUGAUACAUUUGCUAAUGUCUGUGUCAGUCUUAGAUCUCUUAAUAUUUUGGCUUACCAUGCCUGUGGAGGCAAAUAGGUUAUCAAAUAGGGGAGCCAGGAAUUGGCUUCUAACUUGCCAUUUAGGCUUGGCAAAGUUACAACAAUUUAGUAUGACUGUACUAAAUACUUAAUGCUACUUAGUAAAUGUCCUUUUCAGUGUGUUCUACUUAGUGAAUGCCCCCCCUUUUAAAAAUAUUUAUUUAUUUAUUUGGUUGUUCUGGGUCUUAGUUGCUGCAUGUGGGCUCCUUAGUUGUGGCAUGCGAACUGUUAGUUGCUCCACGGCAUGUGGGAUCUAGUUCCCUGGCCAGGGAUCGAACCCGGUCCCCCUGCAUUGGGAGCAUGGAGUCUUACCCACAGUGCCACCAGGGAAGUCCCUACACUUUUGUUUUUCAGGGGAUAAUUAUUUGAAGAUAACUGUGUCUCCAUUAGGUCUUGGAAUGGAUUGUGAAGAUCAUUUCUUGCAGUGUGUGACAGUGGCCCUUGUAACGUUGGAGAUAACCCCGAAACAAAUCCUCUUCUUGGUGGCCCUGGAUUCACCUUUCUCUUGCCAUCGUUAGUCCAGAGUAUUCUGUUCCUGAUAUGCAGGUUCAGAUCCAAAGGUUUUGACUGUGGUCCAGGGCUUUGAUUGUGGCAACAGAUAUGAUUAUUGGAGUUGUGUUCGGCCUAGUCUCAGGUCUUUCUUUCCUGAAGAGGGUCUUGAAGUUUGGCACGUCUUUAUAUCCAAGGAACGUGUGUAGAUGUCCUCCCCAUUUUAAUAAUUGGUUUUCAAAAAAUUUUUAGUUUCUUAAACUUCAUGGAUUCAUAUUAAGCUCCAUUUAGAUUGAGGCCCCUGAGUGAAAGUAAUUUGUUUUUAGUUGGUAUUUAUGAUAAUUCUUCAGUACAAAUUAAUUAACCGGCUUUCUGUGCUUAUAGAAAUGCUGAAUCCAAUAAUCCCCUUUUUUUUUUUUCCUCCCAAUAAUCCCUUUGACUGUGAAACAUUCUCCAUAAGUCCAGAUUGGAACAAUUGGUUGUUUAAAGAAGAAAAAAAGGCAUUUUCUAAAGUGGUACAGUCUACUGUGGGACAAGCUGUCUGAGAUUUGUGGAUAGUGAGUUUUCCUUCUUUCCACUUCUACCUUCCCUGUGCUCAGAUGUAGGCAGGGUGUUUGUCAUCAAAGAUCCAGGUAUGAGAUUAAUUUAAACUCUUGCUAUCACUGUCUUAUAAGGACAGGACUGUCUUUAACAAAUAUUAUUUAUUUUUAAAAAAAAAAAUACUUUAUUUAUUUAUUUAUUUGGCUGCGCCAGGUCCUCAUUGCAGCACACGGGAUCUUCGUUGCUGCGUGCGGGCUCUUUAGUUGCGGCAUUCGAACUGUUGGUUGUGGCAUGCAUGUUGGAUCUAGUUCCCUGACCAGGGAUUGAACCUAGGUCCCCUGCAUUGGGAGCGUGGAGUC